CCUGCGGAUCUCAAUAUGGGUCCGACGCCUGAGGCCAUUCCUAGAUUAAACUUCGAGCGAGUGAAGAAGGAGGCACACGAACAUAGGCGCUGUAGUCUUCUACGGUCCAGCCGGUAAGGACUUACACGCACCUCCAUUAAGGUCCUCGGGGACUCCAACCAGAAAUCCUGCCCUGACGAUACUGUUCGAUACAAAGACCUUCAUGGCACAACAAAACUGAGACAAUACUUAAAGGUUUGAUACCUCGCACAAUCUAUCAGUGACAGCUCUAUUACACUAGUUGUGGUUCAGUCUAAUGGUAACUGUGAUAUCCGACUUAAUUGUGAAGGCAAACACGAACAACAAACCCUUUCCAUCACCUUCUUGGGCCUCCCGUAAUUAUCACCAUUUGCUUCGUUUCAGGGUUUGUUGAACCACCAUAGGUGCACUUCGAUGCUCAUAAGUGAAAUGACUAGGCAAAGGUUUACUAACCGGUAAUGAAUUGUACUACCGUCGGCCACCGAACGACGGAAGCGUUGGUCUCGCAGCAAAAAAAUCGGGUAGUGUGCUUUAGUUGUGUACGUGGGGCGAAUAGGGACAUGUACCAUCAGGAAUCGAAGCAGAAGAUAUUCGACAUUCCCGAGGGAAGAAUGACCGAAAGAACGGCCGAAUAGAUGUCACUUGCCCAUUGUAGCUAGAGACCCUUUCUGCGAUUCUACAGCUUGCUGGUCUACUACCUCGACUGGCCCGCCGCUGUCACUGCGCGUCUUCCGUAGCCAUAUAGGCGGUCAGCGAUCGUUCCGUGAAUCAUUAGGACGAAACGGUACGUUAAAUGUAAUGGACAAAAAUCCGAAAUCGGCAAGGGCAAAAGCAAAAUUCGCUCGAAAUGACAAAUGGCGAUGCGGGCCUCACCGUUUGCGGACUAACUUUUGUCUGGGUGUUUCUCGACGAAGCCGUCGAAGAAGAUUCCGUCCCCAAAAGUCUCCUUUUCAAUGCAACAUAGGGCUAAAUGAGGGUAUUGUCGAUUUUACUGGAAGUAAGCGGAUUUACAAUAGCCGAAAAUGUUAAUCUACUGUACCCGGAAACUUCACAGCUUUACUGCUAUUAAUACCAAUACAGUAAAUGCAUACAGGUCUCGGAAAGUAUUGUCAAUGAUGCUAUUGGUUGGCAUGUCUCGCCCUGAUCCGUCAAGCUCGGACGAGUUGGUGUAACUAUCUACGGGUGAUCAGGUACAGGUCGCCGUUCCACACAUGCCCUUAUGCAGCGUUUGCCAACGCCGUUGUGGGAUUUGUCGUUUGGAAUUUUUUCUGUUUUUCAUAACUAUGAAGCCAAUUCGCAAUCCGUAAAUCAAAAGGCUACUGAUCCUGUUUAUAAAGAGCCACGAUACAACGGACAACUUUAAAAUAACGCAAAACUGUAACAUAACCAGCAGAGUAAAUCUACCCGCUAGAUAACAACGAAUGCUGAUAAUAUUUAACCUGUUAAGAGUUCUGAGAGAUCUCGCGUUAUAUUAUGAAAUUGCUGGGAAA